rnacentral:rRNA from 1 species
UACGUAGGGGGCUAGCGUUGUCCGGAAUCAUUGGGCGUAAAGAGCGUGUAGGCGGCCCGGUAAGUCCGCUGUGAAAGUCGGGGGCUCAACCCUCGGAUGCCGGUGGAUACUGUCGGGCUCGAGUACGGAAGAGGCGAGUGGAAUUCCUGGUGUAGCGGUGAAAUGCGCAGAUAUCAGGAGGAACACCAAUAGCGAGGGCAGCUCGCUGGGACGGUAUUGACGCUAAGGCGCGAAAGCGUGGGGAGCAAACAGG